GGGGAACGGUGACGAGCCAUAGCCAACCCGGCUGCAAGACGGCUGUCGGGGAAACGUUCACACAGGAGAAAAUGGAACAGAGCGAUAUUCGCGACGACAAAGACGGAAAUGUUCUACAGGGACCUGCACCAGUGACGUGCGGGUCCGGGUUAAGCCCACGCCGGAAAAGCCUGCGCCAUUGAAUGGAUGCUACGAGGGGGGAAACAAGCUUCUCCCCACAGAGCUAAGUGUAUGCCGUGGUUAUGCCACCGAUGAACUGAACUGCUAUUAUUUCCCGUGACCAUGAAGUUGCCAUUGUUCCCCGUUACCGUGAAGCUAACCUGCUAUAACUGACUACCUGCUAUCGCCCCUCUGUGACUGGUGGAUCAGCUCACUCUGGCCGCUACCACAACCUUAACCCUGCUCACAGCGACCGGACAGGGUGAGAGACUGGGACCGGAGCUCCUGAGUCGAGACGGAGUCCUGACUGGGUGACCCCCUGGAGGCCAUGUGGAGGGACUGCUCUUUGGACAUCGUCCACCUCUUCAAAGACUCUUAAUCUCAUUUUUAAAUAAAUAUAUUUUCUUUACA